rnacentral:tRNA from 1 species
GGUUGUGGCUCAGUGGUAGAGUGCUUGCCUAGCAUGUAUGAGGCACUGGGUUGGACCCUCAGCACCA